rnacentral:lncRNA from 1 species
AUUUAUCAUUUAUUUUAUCGUAGGAAAAUUACAUUUUAUUUAUUAUUUAAAAAAGAAAGGUAGAAAAAUCCAGCGGGAACACCCGCACGGGCUUCCACACUAUUCACGCAAGCAUGCGCGCGGCCAGCGUAGUGCGCGAGGAGCAGUCUGCACGCGAGUCUCAUUGCGCGUAGAUGGGUGCAGCUUCGUGCACCCUGUGUGUGCACCAUCCGCGCAGUAGGUCUACACAGUGGCCUGUGUGCAUAGGCCUAUGGGCGCGGCAGGCUAGGUCGACGCAUGUCGCAGGCUACGCCUCCGACAUGCCACAGUCGCUUGGGCGACGUGCCGCCGAUGUUUGGGUUGCGUACCACUAGUUUUUGUGCUGUUGCGUAUUGUUUCAUUCAUCUGUCGGUCACGUCCAUCGUCAUCACAUCUAACUUUUCCUAUUGACUUUCUCUCUCCUCACCAGAUUUUAUCACUUCGCGUAAAUCUAACGGUCCCCAUUUUCUAUAAAUAGGGACCCUCUCUUCACCAUUUUCUCAUAACUUAUAUUUCCAUUCUUCCAUCCUCCAAGAGUUUUAGAGAGAGAAAGGGAGAGGAGGAGAAGAA